AGCCCCACAUUCUCUCUACAUUAUAUAUUUUUUAUAUAUUUUUGUUUCCAUUGUUACCAUGUUUCUCAUAGUUGAUUACUAUUUUUCUAUUGUCCCUUAAUUAGUCCAUGAUUUUUAGAUUGUGUAUCAGUUAUGAGUAUCCAUAUUAUAUCUAUUGAGAAUGGGUACUUUAUUUUUUAUUUUUAUUUACUACGUGUUUGUUUGCAAUGAUAGUGUGGUGUUUUGGCAAAAAAGUUAUCGCUAGUUUUUAUUUCAAAAAGUGCAGACAAGCAGCUUUCAAGAUAAAAAAUCCUAAAUGAGCUACUAUUAUCUAUGCUUUAAAGCCUUUCAGAAAGUCUCUUUCACAAAAUCCAAGAUAAAUUUUGAUUUUACCUUAUGUUCUACAAUCACUAGCUGCUUAAUUGUAAUAUCUUCUAGCUCAUUUAUUUGACAUUAUUUAUUUAUGAAUAAAAUGAGAUAUUUUUGUUUCAUCAUUUGUUAUAUUUUAUUUAAAAAUUAUGAUGAAUCUCAUAAAUUAAGAUAAUUAUUUUAAAACCAUGAUGAGAUCAUGCCAAUGAGACCUAAAAUCCUAAAAUCUUAAUCUAAAAUAUUUCUACUCGUUGGAUCAUUGAGUCAGGGAUCAAUGAUACCAGUAAGGCUGGCAUAUCCUAUAUAUGCUCAAUAG
rnacentral:lncRNA from 1 species